UACGGAGGGUGCGAGCGUUGUCCGGAAUCAUUGGGCGUAAAGAGCGUGUAGGCGGCUUUACAGGUCCGUUGUGAAAACUCGAGGCUCAACCUCGAGACGCCGGUGGAAACCGUAAGGCUAGAGUCCGGAAGAGGAGAGUGGAAUUCCUGGUGUAGCGGUGAAAUGCGCAGAUAUCAGGAGGAACACCCGUGGCGAAAGCGGCUCUCUGGGACGGUACUGACGCUGAGACGCGAAAGCGUGGGGAGCAAACAGG
rnacentral:rRNA from 1 species